rnacentral:rRNA from 1 species
AUUGAACGCUGGCGGCAGGCCUAACACAUGCAAGUCGAACGGUAGCACAGAGAGCUUGCUCUCGGGUGACGAGUGGCGGACGGGUGAGUAACGUCUGGGAAACUGCCCGAUGGAGGGGGAUAACUACUGGAAACGGUAGCUAAUACCGCAUAACGUCGCAGGACCAAAGUGGGGGACCUUCGGGCCUCACACCAUCGGAUGUGCCCAGAUGGGAUUAGCUAGUAGGUGGGGUAAUGGCUCACCUAGGCGACGAUCCCUAGCUGGUCUGAGAGGAUGACCAGACACACUGGAACUGAGACACGGUCCAGACUCCUACGGGAGGCAGCAGUGGGGAAUAUUGCACAAUGGGCGCAAGCCUGAUGCAGCCAUGCCGCGUGUAUGAAGAAGGCCUUCGGGUUGUAAAGUACUUUCAGCGGGGAGGAAGGCGGUGAAGUUAAUAGCUUCACCGAUUGACGUUACCCGCAGAAGAAGCACCGGCUAACUCCGUGCCAGCAGCCGCGGUAA